UUGUCUUUGUGCGAGCUUCUGCAGGUUCCUUUCACCAUUGAAGAUCCAGAUUACAAGGGGCUUGAGCUGGAUGUGAUGUCUCCAUGUGAGAAGCACGGCAUGGCAUCUGAGAGGCUUGUUGCCUUUGAAGGAACAAACACAGGCAGGAGGUUUUUAGCAUGUGCACAGCCGGAAGGUAGCAAUUGUGGCUUUGUUGAAUGGGUUGAUCACCAGUGGCCCCCAACAAUGCAGAAUGCAUUGUUGAAGCUAUGGGCAAUGGUUGAAGAUGCCAAAAGUGCUAGGGUGAAUGACAAUCUUGAGAAUUCUUUCACUAUCCACCAUCUGACAGAAGAGAAGAACAAGCUGGAGGCCAACUAUGACAAGCUAGUCCAAGAUGUGCAUGAGCUGAUGAACUUCCAGGAAGAUAAGGUGGUGGAUUUCAGGCAUCUGCGGUCUGCCAUUACAUAUCAGCAAGAGGUAAGAAAAGAACUGACUGAUGAUAUGAAGGCAAAGAUGGCAACUGAGAUGGCAAAGAAAGAUGCAGAGACCCAGCAACUUACUCAGAAGUAUGAGGUGCUGCUCAACCUGACAAGAGCUCAAGCAACAGUCAUUCAGAACUUGAAGUUGAACAAAAUGUAA
rnacentral:rRNA from 1 species